rnacentral:rRNA from 1 species
ACGAACGCUGGCGGCAGGCCUAACACAUGCAAGUCGAACGAACUAGUAGCAAUACUGGUUAGUGGCAAACGGGUGAGUAACACGUAGGAAUCUACCCAUCAGUACGGAACAACGCUUGGAAACGAACGCUAAUACCGUAUAUCUUCUAAGGAAGAAAGAUUUAUCGCUGAUGGAUGAGCCUGCGGCAGAUUAGGUAGUUGGUGGGGUAAUGGCCUACCAAGCUUACGAUCUGUAGCUGGUCUGAGAGGAUGAUCAGCCACACUGGAACUGAGAUACGGUCCAGACUCCUACGGGAGGCAGCAGUGAGGAAUAUUGGGCAAUGGACGAAAGUCUGACCCAGCCAUGUCGCGUGAAUGAAGAAGGCCAUUUGGUUGUAAAGUUCUUUUAGUGGGGAAGAUAAUGACGGUACCCACAGAAAAAGCUCCGGCUAACUCCGU